rnacentral:rRNA from 1 species
UGUUCCCACCACACCAUCCUGAACACAAUCGAUUCUGUCUGAUUUCAGAAGCUAAGAAGGAUCAGGUCUGGUUUAGUCCUUGUACAGGAGACAACCAGAGAAUAUCUCCAUAUGAGGCUAGGAAAUAA